UCUCAAAAUAAAUUAAUUAAUUAAAAAAAUAAAAUAAAAUAAAAUAAAAUAAAAUAAAAUAAGGGACCAUAGCUGUCCUUUUGGCCAACUUUUCACAAAUGUCCCAAGGUCUAAAUGCCCCUGACAGCUCAACCAUUCCCAAGAGGCAACCCCAUUCAGCAGUUGAGUGGCUCUCAAUUGAGAAGACACAGCUUAUUUGGGUGGCUGUAAGAGGUCUUGGGGCACCUGGGUGACUCAGUCAGUAGAGCAUUCAACUCUGGAUCCUGGGGUUGUGAGUUCGAGCCCCACACUGGCUAUAGAGAUUAGUCAACAAUAAAAUCACUUUUUAAAAAAUGUAAGAGGUCUCUUCUAAUCUGGCCAAAGAUUUGCUUCUUAUAUUCUCUAUGUCAUAUAUUCUUACAUGUCUCUAUGUCUCUAUGCCCACAGGUCUUAAUAAUAUAGCACAGUGGUUCUCAAAUGUGAUUCCUAUGCCAGCAACAGCAUCAUCACUGGGAACUUGUAUGAACUGAAAAUUUGGGAGCUGGGUCCCAACAGUCUGCGUUGGGAAACCCUCCUCCAGGUGAUUCUGAUGCAUGCUGAAGUUUGAGAAGCACCCGUGGAGCAUAAUGGAAAGCAGGCAGGACUUCAGAAUGAAAAACACCAGGAUUCAGAUCCUAGCCCUCUGGUCAGUUUAGUGUUGGUUGGCACUUUUCUCAGGCUGAACCCAUGUAAUGGAAAAGAUGACCACUGGCAGCUCUCAGCUCACAUUCGGCCAGCUUCCAAGCUCAGCAGAAGAAUUCUGGGUCACUUCAGACACAGGCCUGGGAUUGAUCCUGUCUGGCCCCUCUUGAGUCACGUGUCCACCCUUGUGGAAUUCUCCUCGGCUGCACCUGUAAGCCUUAGUCUACUUAGGAAUUGGAGUACCGAUCACUUUCAACUGUCCUGCAGCACUACGAAAAACUGUAGAAAUUCUCAUGUCUGCUUCUGGAGAAUUCCAAGGCUCUGGGUCUCAGAACCACAGAAUCCUAUCAACAAAGGAGCUUUAAAGGCCACUUAGUUCGGGGCUCCUGGAUGACUCACUUGGUUAAGCAUCUGACUCUUGGUUUCGACUCAGGUCAUGAUCUUGCAGUUGGGUGAAUCACAAUACCUGGCACCUGGUAGGUGCUACACAAAAGUUUGUUAAACAAAAUAAUGCAAAUGAAGGCACUGAGGUUAAAAGAGAUCAUUUCCUGGAGCUCUCCCAUACCGUUAACAGCAGAAGUUGGCUGGCCACUCAGAUUUCCUGAGAAAUCCUGGUUUCCAGGGGGAGCUGGAAUACUCUCAGGUAUUGACCCCAAGAACUUUCUGAUCACAAAUCUCCAUCUUGGGAUGUGCGUUCUGGAGAACCCCACAUGCGACAUAUAUAUGCCCCUGUACGUAUACCUCAUGUGCUCCCAGAGGGUCUGCUUUUGCUGUCUGCACUCCCUGCUGCGCCAUCACCCACUGGGCAACCUGUGCCUGCUGCCAUGUCUGUGGGUCCCCACUGCCUUUUGCUGCAGCGGUGACAACAAAGUCCUUAAAGCUUCAGUGUUGUGUUGGGAAGUAGGCCAUGAAAACCUCACAAGGAAACUCUCUGUCAGCAAAACUACGAUGUCAACAUUCCCAAGAGCACCAUGAGAGAAAUGAUGUUCACAUGCAUCUGAAUCGCACAACCCUUUGGCCAUAUCUGGAUUUCACAGCUGUGGCAGAGCUUAUUUCCCAUCUGUUUUGUCACCAUUGCUUAAGUAAUUUAAUAAUUAAACUGGAUUGUCCGGAUACCAAUAAAAUGAAAGAACCAUAGGUGGUGGCAAUUGAAUCUAAGACCAUCCAAUGUAUCUAAAGCAUCUGAUAUAACCAGUGGCGUGCUGAUAAAUGUUUAGCAACCGGCUCUCUGAAAAGAAAAGAAAAUAACACUGAUUGAUAGUGUUUGUUGAUUUCAUGGUACAAAUACUCCCACCGUGGCCGUUUUCAAGCUGACAAUGUGAAAUCUCUGAACUCAGUCUUGGGAAGAGAUGCUACAAUGGGCUCUCGCGACUCAGUAGGAGCUGGCUCCAUUACACUGCUCAGUGAAAAAACACACAAAAUGGAUCGCCUUUUCACAAAACCGCUAUAAAGUUUUCAAGGCCUGAUCUGAUGUAAUGAUUGACAUUCAGAAGAAAGGAAUUCCAAGACGUGUCUCAAUAUAAAGCCCUUAUGAAAUAGGGAUGACAUUUCACUGAUUCAGAAGUCUGGAAAGAUAGAAAGUUCAAGACCUCAGCUUUGGUAACAGAGAGAGAGACAGAGCAUGAACGGGGG